rnacentral:rRNA from 1 species
UACGAGGGGGGCAAAUGUUGUUCGGAAUCACUGGGCGUAAAGGGAGCGUAGGCGGGUUUCUAAGUCAGGUGUUUAAUCCCGGGGCCCAACCCCGGACAGGCACUUGAAACUGGGAAUCUUGAAUAGUGGAGAGGUCAGUGGAAUUGGGGGUGUAGCGGUGGAAUGCGUAGGGAUCCCCAAGAACACCAGUUGCGAAGGCGGCUGACUGGACACAUAUUGACGCUGAGGCUCGAAAGCAUGGGGAGCAAACAGG